AACGCGUGGGAACGUGCCCUUUGGUACGGAACAACUGAGGGAAACUUCAGCUAAUACCGUAUGUGCCCUUCGGGGGAAAGAUUUAUCGCCAUUGGAGCGGCCCGCGUUGGAUUAGGUAGUUGGUGAGGUAAAGGCUCACCAAGCCGACGAUCCAUAGCUGGUCUGAGAGGAUGAUCAGCCACACUGGGACUGAGACACGGCCCAGACUCCUACGGGAGGCAGCAGUAGGGAAUCUUGCGCAAUGGGCGAAAGCCUGACGCAGCCAUGCCGCGUGAAUGAUGAAGGUCUUAGGAUUGUAAAAUUCUUUCACCGGGGACGAUAAUGACGGUACCCGGAGAAGAAGCCCCGGCUAACUUCGUGCCAGCAGCCGCGGUAAUACGAAGGGGGCUAGCGUUGCUCGGAAUUACUGGGCGUAAAGGGAGCGUAGGCGGAUAGUUUAGUCAGAGGUGAAAGCCCAGGGCUCAACCUUGGAAUUGCCUUUGAUACUGGCUAUCUUGAGUAUGGAAGAGGUAUGUGGAACUCCGAGUGUAGAGGUGAAAUUCGUAGAUAUUCGGAAG
rnacentral:rRNA from 1 species